AGGAUCAUUACAGUAUAUCGUUUUAAAGGGGGCGUGCACGUGUCCUAUGCCCUCCGUCCCCCCGGGGGGACGGACGGAAAGGCGUUUUGCGCCUUCUAUAAUCCCUAUAUAUAUAUAUACACACCCCUGUGCACCUAUUGGGGGGAAGCGUUCUCGGGCUCGACUCGUCGGGCCGAGGCGGGUUCUCCCUACUACACCUUACACACACACACACGUCGUCCUGUCUGUUUGGGCUCUACGGAGCGUUAAUGUAACAACUUUCAACAACGGAUCUCUUGGCUUUCGCAUCGAUGAAGGACGCCGCGAAAGUGCGAAACGUAAUGUGAAUUGCAGAAUUCAGUGAAUCAUCGAAUCUUUGAACGCAUCUUGCGCUCCCUGGUAUUCCGAGGAGCAUGCCUGUUUGAGUGUCGUGAACACCCUCAACCCUCCUUUCCCUUUGACCGGGGAGAAAAGGGUUGGAUUUGGACGCCUGCGACGGGCCCUCGUGCCUUUUGCUCGUCUUUAAAUGCAUCAGCUGGUCCCUUGGAGUCGGUUCGGCAACGGCGUGAUAUAACAUGAACCGUUGGGUGGCGUCGUUUGGGCCGACUCGCGAGUGGGGGGGUCGCUUACAGCCGUCUUCGGACAACAUUGUCGUUUGACCUCAAAUCAGGUAGGACUACCCGCCGAACUUAAGCAUAUCAAUAAGCGGAGGAAAAGAAACUAACAAGGAUUCCCCUAGUAACGGCGAGUGAAGCGGGAAGAGCUCAAAUUG
rnacentral:rRNA from 1 species